UUUUAGCCCUGAUGGAAGUGGCAUCCUUUUUGUUUUUUCUUUAAAAACAAAAAGAUAGAACGAACAGCAGGACAUGAG
rfam:Flavobacteria bacterium GWF1_32_7 gwf1_scaffold_15, whole genome shotgun sequence.